GAUGAACGCUGGCGGCGUGCCUAAUACAUGCAAGUCGAGCGAACAGAUGAGGAGCUUGCUCCUCUGACGUUAGCGGCGGACGGGUGAGUAACACGUGGAUAACCUACCUAUAAGACUGGGAUAACUUCGGGAAACCGGAGCUAAUACCGGAUAAUAUAUUGAACCGCAUGGUUCAAUAGUGAAAGACGGUUUUGCUGUCACUUAUAGAUGGAUCCGCGCCGCAUUAGCUAGUUGGUAAGGUAACGGCUUACCAAGGCAACGAUGCGUAGCCGACCUGAGAGGGGGGUCGGCCAAAAGGGAAAUGAGAAACGGUCCAGAACCAGACGGGAGGCAGCAGUAGGGAAUCGUCCGAAAUGGGCGAAAGCUUGACGGAGAAACGCCGCGUGAGUGAUGAAGGUCUUCGGAUCGUAAAACUCUGUUAUUAGGGAAGAACAAAGGUGUAAGUAACUAUGCACGUCUUGACGGUACCUAAUCAGAAAGCCACGGCUAACUACGUG
rnacentral:rRNA from 1 species